CAAUGGGAAGUUUUCCUAUCCCUGUGUGAUGAAUAGAUUGAUUAAAGCUCAUCAUUUUUUACAUGAAAAGCUGAUCAGUGAAAACAAUAGGUCACAAUCGUGAUUCAUCAGUGCUUAAACAUUUACAUGUAGUGUUUUACCUGCGCUGUUGUCUCGCAUACACUAAAGUUAAAGCCAAUAUUGAGCCCCUCCCUCUCUCAGGACAGGUAUAUGUGCUCAUGCGAUCUUGACACAGGCAAAGUGCUGUUGAUGACUUUAAUCGAAGUUGGGAAACUACAUAGGAAUACCUAGCUGGGGCACAAGAAACUGGGAAGGUUUUCAAUUGCUCAAUUGAAGUCAAGAUGGGAAACGAACUGUCUACUGAAAUAAAUCAUGUGCAGGCAAACUUCGCUGAUAUUAAAAUCCAAAAUGGAGAACUGAAUGGACAUGCAGUUCAAUCUUCAGAAGAGCCCGAGUCUGG